AUGAGGACGAAGAUGGCGGCGGCGCUGGUCCGGGCCUCCGGGGGGAUCGGACCUCCUACGCCUGCCCGAUCCUCCUACUUCUCCUCGCGCUGCUCCUCCCUGUCCCCGCUCGCGGCCAUCUCCAACGCCUCCUCCCACGCCUACGCCUUCGCGGGCCAUCAGCCGGUGCCUGCCCCGGAUCCCACCUUCUUCGACGAUGUCGUCGACGCCAUCGUCGACAAUUCCCCGCCCGCGUGGGGCCCCGCGGUCGCGCUGGCGCGGGCCUCCGACGGGGCCGUCGACUGGAGCCGCCCCGACGCCCCCGCGGUGGAGGAGGUGGUCGGGCCCGACGGGGUCGACUUUGUGACCGGCGAUGGCGACCUGGCGUUCGGCUCCGGCGUUAGGGUCCGUGACAUGGUAGGGCCGUUCGAGCUGGUGGUCUGCGAUGGCGCUGGCAGGGGCCGCGCAGAGCUCCAGUUGCCGUCGUUCUGCAAGCUGCGGCACACAUGGUCUGCCUCCGUGUCGUCCUACCUGCUUUAG
rnacentral:rRNA from 1 species